rnacentral:misc_RNA from 1 species
CAAAUGCGAUAAGUAAUGUGAAUUGCAGAAUUCAGUGAAUCAUCGAAUCUUUGAACGCACCUUGCGCUCCUUGGUAUUCCUUGGAGCAUGCCUGUUUGAGUAUCAUGAAAUCUUCAAAGUAAAUCUUUUGUUAACUCAAUUGGUUUCUACUUUGGUAUUGGAGGUCUUUGCAGCUUCACACCUGCUCCUCUUUGUUCAUUAGCUGGAUCUCAGUGUUAUGCUUGGUUCCACUCGGCGUGAUAAGUUAUCUAUCGCUGAGGACACUGUAAAAGGUGGCCAAGGUAAAUGCAGAUGAACCGCUUCUAAUAGUCCAUUGACUUGGACAAUACUUUUAUGAUCUGAUCUCAAAUCUGGUAGGACUACCCGCUGAACUUAAGC